CCUACGGGAGGCAGCAGUGAGGAAUAUUGGUCAAUGGGCGGAAGCCUGAACCAGCCAAGUCGCGUGAGGGAAUAAGGCCCUACGGGUCGUAAACCUCUUUUGCCGGGGAGCAAGGGCGGGGACGUGUCCCGGCCCGGAGAGUACCCGGAGAAAAAGCAUCGGCUAACUCCGUGCCAGCAGCCGCGGUAAGACGGAGGAUGCGAGCUUUAUCCGGUUUUAUUGGGUUUAAAGGGUGCGUAGGCGGGCUUUUAAGUCAGCGGUAAAGAUUCGGGGCUCAACGCCGCCCGGUCGUUGACACUGGGGGGCUUGAGUGGGCGAGAAGAAGGCGGAAUGCGUGGUGUAGCGGUGAAAUGCAUAGAUAUCACGCAGAACCCCGAUUGCGAAGGCAGCCUUCCGGCGCCCUACUGACGCUGAGGCACGAAAGUGCGGGGAUCGAACAGGAUUAGAUACCCCUGUAGUC
rnacentral:rRNA from 1 species